rnacentral:rRNA from 1 species
CAAGACCUGCGCUUUUGGAGCGGCCGAUGCCUGAUUAGCUUGUUGGUAAGGUAAAGGCUUACCAAGGCUUCGAUCAGUAGCUGGUCUGAGAGGACGGCCAGCCACACUGGGACUGAGACACGGCCCAGACUCCUACGGGAGGCAGCAGUGGGGAAUUUUGGACAAUGGGGGAAACCCUGAUCCAGCCAUGCCGCGUGAGUGAAGAAGGCCUUCGGGUUGUAAAGCUCUUUCAGCCGGAACGAAACGGUUACGGAUAAUACCCGUGACUACUGACGGUACCGGAAGAAGAAGCACCGGCUAACUACGUGCCAGCAGCCGCGGUAAUACGUAGGGUGCGAGCGUUAAUCGGAAUUACUGGGCGUAAAGCGUGCGCAGGUGGUUUUGUAAGUCAGAUGUGAAAGCCCCGGGCUCAACCUGGGAACU